rnacentral:rRNA from 1 species
UACGUAGGGGGCAAGCGUUGUCCGGAAUCAUUGGGCGUAAAGCGCGCGUAGGCGGCCCGGUAAGUCCGCUGUAAAAGUCCAGGGCUCAACCCUGGAAAGCCGGUGGAUACUGUCGGGCUAGAGUCCGGAAGAGGAGAGUGGAAUUCCUGGUGUAGCGGUGAAAUGCGCAGAUAUCAGGAAGAACACCCGUGGCGAAGGCGGUUCUCUGGGACGGUACUGACGCUGAGACGCGAAAGCGUGGGGAGCGAACAGG